GAUGAACGCUGGCGGCGUGCCAAAUACAUGCAAGUCGAGCGAACUGAUUAGAAGCUUGCUUCUAUGACGUUAGCGGCGGACGGGUGAGUAACACGUGGGCAACCUGCAUGUAAGACUGGGAUAACUUCGGGAAACCGAAGCUAAUACCGGAUAGGAUCUUCUCCUUCAUGGGAGACGAUUGAAUGAUGGUUUCGGCUAUCACUAACAGAUGAGCCCGCGGUGCAUUAGCUAGUUGGUGAGGUAACGGCUCACCAAGGCAACGAUGCAUAGCCGACCUGAGAGGGUGAUCGGCCACACUGGGACUGAGACACGGCCCAGACUCCUACGGGAGGCAGCAGUAGGGUAUCUUCCGCUAUGGACGAGAGUCUGACGGAGCAACGCCGCGUGAGUGAUGAAGGCUUUCGGGUCGUAAAACUCUGUUGUUAGGGAAGAACAAGUACGAGAGUAACUGCUCGUACCUUGACGGUACCUAACCAGAAAGCCACGGCUAACUACGUGCCAGCAGCCGCAGUAACAC
rnacentral:rRNA from 1 species